rnacentral:rRNA from 1 species
UACGAAGGGGGCUAGCGUUGCUCGGAAUCACUGGGCUUAAAGGGCGCGUAGGCGGGCAUCAUAGUCAGGGGUGAAAUCCUCCAGCUCAACUGGAGAAGUGCCUCUGAUACUGGGUGCCUCGAGGGGUGCAGGGGCGUGCGGAACUUCCGGUGGAGCGGUGAAAUGCGUAGAUAUCGGAAGGAACACCGGUGGCGAAGGCGGCACGCUGGACACCUUCUGACGCUGAGGCGCGAAAGCCAGGGGAGCAAACGGG